UGUGCGUAUUAUAAAAAAACAAAGUAUUAUUUGCCUACUAUUAUUUACCCAAAUGUUUUAUUCUAUUGCAUACAAUAAAUACAGAUAUUUUGUAUCGUAUUUGCCGAAAAGCAUUUUAUAUAUCGUUGUAGGUUAAUUUUUAAUAUCAUUCGUACAUUGUGUUAUUCAUCGCUAACGUUGUUAUUAAAUUAUUGUUGGUAACUAAAAACAUGGUAAAACAUAUUAUUGUGUUAACUUUAUGUCUUAUGACUUAUUUUAUUGGAAAUAUAGAUGCCGGAAAGAAACGUAGAGCCGAUGAAAAAAGGAAAGUCACAACCGAAAUUGUAAGUGGUGAACGUUUACCAAUUGUUAACGAUACCAAUCUUCAAACAAUUAAAGUAUUUUAUGGUUUUAAAGCUGCAUUCGUGAAUGAAUUCGUUCAGAAUUUAUACAUGCAACCCAGAGUGAAUGCAUUGGCUGAAAAAUACAACAAUAAUGAACUUACUGAUGAACCACUGAAAACGUUUGUUUUUAAUUGGGGGCCUCAAGCUACAGAAGAUUUCUUUAAAUCAGUGUCAGCGUUUUGUUCUGAAUACAGCGCAUUUCCUGAAAAUAUUCAAAAGCAUUAUAUCAAAUAAACAAUAGUAGUGCAAAAAAGUGUUUGAUAGCACCUUGUACCUUAUAUAUACGCAAAUAAACAUACAGCUUCAUAUGAAUAUUGUACUAAUUAAAUUAUGUUGACAUAUGUUACACUAAGAAAUAAAUUAUAUGAUUAUAUAACUUAACUACAUAAGGAUGAUCUAAAUGUACUUUUAAUAAUAAUAAAUAUAAAAUAGAGAAUAUAAUGUAAUAUAAAUUCAUGAAUUUAUUUGUUUUUUUUAAGGAAUGUCUUUAAAUAAAUAAGACUUAAUAGGUAUGGUGUACCUAUUAAUUUUCAGUUAAUGGUAUAUUAUCAUUGACCGAAUGAUUAGUUUCAAAACUUGAAGCAACGUUUAUGAAAGUAUCAUUAAGUAUAUUACAAAACUAGAUUCACUAAUAAUUCCAUCUUUGUUUUUAAUACUAUUUAUUUUAUAUAUAUUUUUAUUUGGUUUUCCUAUGAUCUCAUUUAUAAUAUUCCAAAUUUGUUUGGUAUUGGAUUUAGAGCUUUGUAAUCUGUUUUGAUAGUAUAGUUAUUUGGAUUUUCGCAAUAACAAAUUUAAAAUAUUUCUGUAGGAAAUGUAAUAUUUUUUGAAAUGAGUGUCAAAAGGCCUGGUUCUUAAUUUAGCCGAUAAAUUUCUAAUAUAAAUAAUAAUUCCGGGAGUAAUCCAUUCUUUUAAAUUUGAAAAUUUUUUUGGUCUAUAAUUUGUAUCAGGAGAAGAUGAAUAGUUAAUAAAUUUGCUAAUUUUAGAAUUAAACACUUCAACCAUAGUAUCAAAAUUAUCAUAGUCCAAACAUGAAUGCCAAUUUUCCGUUUUUAUUAGUAAGUUUAAAUGAGCAGUGUCUAUUUUAUCUGGUCUUACAAUUGUUUUUUUAGGAUUUUUAUCAUGAACGAAUAAAUCAGAUAAUAACAAUAUUGCUGCAAAAUGAUCUGUUAAACCUGAUCUCAAAAUAUGAGAAGUAAUUUUAUUGGAUUCUGUUGAAAUAUACGAUUAAUAUUAGUAUUCAAACCAUGUAAACACACGUGCGUGUACAAUGCCGUUUUCUAAUAGAUACUUAUCUAGUUACGAUAUAGCUGUGCAACACUUUUACUAUCGCUUUCUAUAUUCUAUACGGAUACGGGAUGACCUCAACUAAUCAUAUAUAUAGGGCCUUUGAAGUAUGUAAUACUCACUUGCACGUGCAUCGUCAUACAGUGCGUAUACGGUGUGUGUGUAGUGUCACGUUAAAUUGUCCAGUUGUACGUUAUUAUAUAAUAUACUUAUACAUAAUCAUAUUGUCAUGUUAUUAUUCAUUUAUAAUAAUACUAAAGUCAUUAGUCCGUGAAGCUUCACUUUCAACAUAUUCAAUAUUAUUAGUAAAAAUAUGGUCAACUUAGAAUGAUUAGACUCUCUAGCAAUACUAUUUAUGCAUGGUAAAAAACCAUUUUCAGCCAUUAUUACAACUAUUUGAAUUUAUAAUUAUAUUAAUAUUAAUGUCAACGCAAUAAAUACAAAACAUUUUAGAUUCUGAGUGGAACGAUGAAUGUAUUGAUUUUACAAUGA
rnacentral:misc_RNA from 1 species